rnacentral:rRNA from 1 species
UACGUAGGGCGCAAGCGUUGUCCGGAAUUAUUGGGCGUAAAGAGCUCGUAGGCGGUUUGUCGCGUCUGCUGUGAAAACCCGAGGCUCAACCUCGGGCCUGCAGUGGGUACGGGCAGACUAGAGUGUGGUAGGGGAGACUGGAAUUCCUGGUGUAGCGGUGGAAUGCGCAGAUAUCAGGAGGAACACCGAUGGCGAAGGCAGGUCUCUGGGCAGUUACUGACGCU